GAUGAACGCUGGCGGCGUGCCUAAUACAUGCAAGUCGAGCGAACAGACGAGGAGCUUGCUCCACUGACGUUAGCGGCGGACGGGUGAGUAACACGUGGAUAACCUACCUAUAAGACUUGGAUAACUUCGGGAAACCGGAGCUAAUACCGGAUAAUAUAUUGAACCGCAUGGUUCAAUAGUGAAAGACGGUUUUGCUGUCACUUAUAGAUGGAUCCGCGCCGCAUUAGCUAGUUGGUAAGGUAACGGCUUACCAAGGCAACGAUGCGUAGCCGACCUGAGAGGGUGAUCGGCCACACUCGAACUGAGACACGGUCCAGACUCCUACGGGAGGCAGCAGUAGGGAAUCUUCCGCGAUGGGCGAAAGCCUGACGGAGCAACGCCGCGUGAGUGAUGAAGGUCUUCGGAUCGUAAAACUCUGUUAUUAGGGAAGAACAAAUGUGUAAGUAACUAUGCACGUCUUGACGGUACCUAAUCAGAAAGCCACGGCUAACUACGUG
rnacentral:rRNA from 1 species